AACGAACGCUGGCGGCAGGCCUAACACAUGCAAGUCGAGCGCCCAGCAAUGGGAGCGGCGCACGGGUGAGUAACACGUGGGAACGUGCCCUUUGGUUCGGAAUAACGCAGGGAAACUUGCGCUAAUACCGGAUAAGCCCUACGGGGGAAGAUUUAUCGCCAUUGGAGCGGCCCGCGUCUGAUUAGCUAGUUGGUGAGGUAACGGCCCACCAAGGCAACGAUCAGUAGCUGGUGAGAGAACGACCAGCCACACUGGGACUGAGACACGGCCCAGACUCCUACGGGAGGCAGCAGUGGGGAAUCUUGGACAAUGGGGGAAACCCUGAUCCAGCCAUGCCGCGUGAGUGAUGAAGGCCCUAGGGUUGUAAAACUCUUUCGGCGGGACGAUAAUGACGGUACCCGCAGAAGAAGCUCCGGCUAACUUCGUGCCAGCCGCCGCCGUAAC
rnacentral:rRNA from 1 species